CGCCCCCAGGUACAGUGGGACGGCCUGAGGCUCGGUCCCCUCCACCACCGCCGGCUUGGCUCCUCCAAUUCGCCGGACACCAACUCUCUUGGACAGCGCCUUCCACUGCCCAUUCUCCGACGUAGCUGGGUGGGGACCCCAACAGUGCUUGAAGCUUGGGGAGACUUCGAGCCCCCCAACUGGACAAUCCGGGUGAGCCUACCCCCAGGUGGGCAGUUGUGUGGCAUCCCACGUAAUCCCACGCUCGCGAAGACGGCGUGCGUCUCCCUCCCGAGCGGGCGUGGCUUCAUUCUCAGCCAGGCAGGGUCUGGACGAUCCGGGAGUCAGUAUCCCUGUGAAAUGAGUGCUGACCUCGAAGAAGAGCUGGCCCACGGGCACCAGCCCCAGGAGAUCAGAGGACACGCAACGCCUUGGAGUGGCCACUUGGCCCCCUGCCUCCCUGGAUCUGAGGUUCUUAACUUCUGUGGACUUGGUAGAGCCCUCCUGUUAUCAGAAAGAAGGCUGUGCUGAAGUGGACCCCGUCUUUCAGAUGCUGUCCAGAUGACGUAGGGCUCAGGAGCUGAGUCCAGGCAGAAGAGGAGUGACCCGCAGUACACUGGGCGGUGAUGGGCACUAUGUCACAUCAAGAGGUAGAUAGAACCCGUCCACCGAGGAAAGCCCUACGAGGGGACAUUUACUCCCAGUCAGGGGAGGAGCAAAGGGGCAGUUUGCCAAAGGUGCCAUGAAGACUCUGAGAGGAUGCAAGGAAAUGGCCCCUGCCUGCAACCCCAAACAUCUUCAGGAUGGAACCAAAGCCAUCAGCCCAGCAGGAGAGUGACGUCCCAGCCCACCAGUCUGCAACUCCGAGCAGGAGGAGCCCCUGCACCACGUCUCUCAAAUAUCCCAGCAGAGAGCAUUCUCUCCAGCAUAGGUGAGCUUGGCUGGCUCCCCUGACCUUCGCUUUCCUAUAGUUCUGGUUCUAGGCUCCACCUUCCAUCACAUCAAAUUUCAAGAGACCCAAAUCCUGUUCCAGCCCCUCAGAAAAGAGAAGCACCUGGAGGAGGUCCAGCUUCCAAGCCUCUGCCAAUAUUCACGCCCCUUGUCUCAUGCUCUGGCCAGCUGCAGGCUGCCCUGGAACUUCCUUAUUUAUAGGAUCCUCUGGGCACCCACUUGACCCAGGAUCCCAAGCAAGCUCAGGGGAAUUCUAGCCCAGGGCCAGGGCACAGGCCAGCACCUGCAGUGGAGAUGCACCCUGUCCCCAGAGACACCGCUUACAGGAGAUGCUAAUGUACCUCUGCAUCAGCCUGGCAGCUGUCUUUCAUUUGCAAAAGUAGAAAUGUCAUCUUUGUAUUUUUGGUUCUGAUUUGAGAGGUAUGUAUUUUGGUCUUAACUGAAAUCCAGCAUCAUGUGAGAGCGCCCUUCUGUGUACUUCACCUUCCCUAUAACCAGGGCAGUCUGUUCCUCGAGGUAGACAGGGCUGCCCCCAAGGCCUGGUGUGGCCAGUGUUAGAGCCAUCUGCCCAACUGGAAAUGCCAGUUGGUUCCUUGUGGGUACAGAAAGGUCAUGUAGGAUGGUGGUAUGGGAUGAUUUUCACCCAAAAACCCCUUACCUGAAAGGCAUGGGGGGGGAGUGAUUUCUGGGGUGGGGGACCUGGAGGAACAGGCACAACUUUGAAUUCCUUUGAGCUUUUCAUUAGUCAGUGAUUCAGGAGAGGAGAGGAAAGGCCUUGACUCUCAUUGGCAUGUGGAGAGGCAGAGGGCUGGGACAGGAUGCUGCUGCUCAUGGGAGUGACCUGGAGAGGUUCCUCACACCCAGAUGCUCCUGCGUGCAGAGAACUGGCCUGCAGACUGGCACUGUGGCGGGAGUCACACCCCAAGGUGGGCUGUGAAACGUGUGGGGACAUGUGCACCUGUGUGCUCAUGCACAUGUCAGUACCGGCUUCCUUUGCUUGGCUGUGGCCCUGAAGAGAUUUCAGGCCACUCUUGGCAUGUUUAUGUGAGAAGUUGAAUAAGGGAAUCAGAGAGGAUGGGGGGAGGACCUACUGCCUGGUACCGGCUGUGAGAGGUGACAUGGCUGGUUCCCUCAGCUAUAAGGGAGCCAGUUCCCCCACCAGAAUGGAGACUCUCUCCACGUGAGGCUGGCAAACAGCAGCCUCCAGCAAGAGAGACUGGGCCACACCCUCCUUAUUGCCCUCAUUCUCCGUGAACCAGGAGUGGAAGCAGCUCCCGCCAGACCUGCACCAGCUCAUAGGAGGUUCAAGAUGGCAAGGACCCCACAGCUUCUGUUAAAGAGCUGUCAUCCCUCGGGCUGGGAAUACAGCUCAGAUGGUAGAGCGCUUGCCUCACAUGCACAAGGCCUUGGGUUCAAUCCCCAGCACCACAGAAGAAAAGAGAAAAAAGAGCUGUCAUCCCACAACGAGCAUGACACCAUCCCCUCAUCCUUUCUGAAAAAUAAAUGACAUGUAAGCCUGUGGGGGCGCCAUCAGA